CAGUUCAAUAGAGCCUAAGCCUGUGUAGAGCACAGCAGAGCAGUCUGGCUGUAGGAAAACCCCUAGAAAUUGAUGACUGAGGAAAGGUCUGGAUUUAGCAUCCUCAGAUGACCCCUCAUUACAAAUUCCUUGGCUAUUUAUAAAUGCCCCCCCAUAAGACUAGAGUUCAAGAAUGUACUAACAUUUAGAACUACAGAGCAAAUUCACCCUCUCUGCAUGCUAGGGAAUUCAGAGAGAGUAUCUGCUGCAUGAGGAUGGUCAAGAUUGGCCCCAAAAAUAGUUUGUUGCAACAACAUGCUGAAGAAUACAUGAACCACUGGAAGCCCCUGUUGGGCUGAUAACUGUGGCAGAGACAGGCUGCUGAAGCAAAUUAAAGUGGCCUUAAACAGGAGCCUUAUCUCCAUGGGGGAGAGCUGCAGGAUCAGAGGUCAAUACAAUCCAGUGCAGUAACCUAAUGUGAUGGUGCUCUGUCCUGAGAGCUCUCGCACACCCAGGACCACAAAACAGCUCUGUCUCUUGUCCUCCUCUUCACUUGCUAUUAGUGUGACAGAAAAAAAAUGCCAGCUCCAGUGUGUGCCAACUUUAUUGCUUUGUGACACCACCCUCAGUGUGCUUGCUCUGAAUAAAAGAGUUGCACGGUGGUAAAUUUUAAAAAAUAGUAUCUGCCACCUAGUGGUAAAUUAAUUUUUUUUUUUUAAAUGGGAGAUGGUGAUGUUACAGCUUGCUGGGUUAAUGGUGGCUUUCCAAAGGUAUUUUCUCCUUGAAAACUCUCAGUAUAUGUUUAUUAUAGAUUUUGGGCUAAGUUCCAAAUUGUUAACAGCAUGUAGGUAUUAACAAAACUAAGUGACUAUUUCAGUGAUUUGCUUCUAUUACAGAAAAGGUCUCCAAGAUACUCCUACCAGCCUAGACUAGCAACUCACAGGAUGUAAUAUGAAUUCAGAAUUUUCCUCAGAAAAUUCCUCAUAUCUGUCAAUAAGUGCUCAAGAGUGUAAUUUGGUUUCAGGAGCACAAGGAGCCUAAUUUAGGAACAGCGUGUGAAGAGCAUGUGUUGAAGGAUGAGCAAUAAGGAUAAGAGCAGUCACAGCCAGCCCUGUGAUUGCCGUGGGACUCGAUGUAUUCUGCAAGUCACGGGUAGAGGGGAGGUGUUGAAAUAUGUUUUCCUUCUGCAUGCUUAGAGAGCUGCUGUAGAAAUCAUUACAAAGUGCAAAAACCCUACCACAGAGGGGUCUUGGUUUUAUUACUUGGUGGGUUGCUUUGUAGGAAGAUGUUCUUUCCCAGUCCAUCCCCAGUCCCUGUCCCUGCUGUGUGCUCUCACUGGAGGCUCCCUUGUGGCCUCCCAGGUGAGGGGUGGCUUAGGUCUAAACAUCUAAACGUCCUUGGCCAACACCAGCAGAAUCAGACUGCCUGUGCAUGGGUACCCUCUCAGGAUGUUAGGAACGUCUAUAAGAAUGAUGGAGAGACACUUGAUACCAAGGCCUGUAGUGACUCGAGAAGCAGUUUUAAAUGGAAAAGAUUAGAUUUAAAUGUGACAUAAGAACAUUUUUUUAAUGAUGAGGGUGGUGAGACACUGUAACAGGUUGUCCAGAGGCCAGGUUGGAUGGGUGCUUGAGCAGCCUGGAAGAUGCACCUGGUCAUGGUAGGGGCAUUAGACAAGGUCACCUUCCAAAACUCUUCCAUGGUUGUAUGGUUCUAUAUUGACCCAGCUAUACACUAAGCCCAUAAAGUUCAAUAUUUAUUAACAGGUGUUAUUUUAAGUGGAGGUGGAAAGUAUCCCAGAAGCAGUUAAUUUCUUGCACCACAGUUAAAUUACCAAGCUGUUUAUAGCCAAGCUAAACUGAUCCUCCACUGAUCUGCAUGUAACGUGUUUGACUGGAGGAGCUCCCACCCAGAGGACAGGAGUGGGUGGUGAUGGAGCCAAGGGCCUCCCCCAGCCAUGGUGCUCCCAGCCAUGGACUCACUGCUCUGUAACCCAUCCCCUGUGAUUCAUCACCUUCACGAGGUGAAAGUCAACUGUGAAAGUGAGGCUGUCUGUUUGCAGACUGUGCAUAAAGGACUGGCUUUGUUUUCUUCAGGUGUCGGUGUUUCCAGGGGAAUAUUCCCUGCCACAGCAGUGAGCGGGUGCUUAUGGCACUGGGGCCUCUUGGAUGCUCUGAGACACAUUGAUCCAGUUGGUGUGAGGGUCCCCACAGGUGACAGCAACCAACUGCAUUUCUCACCAGGCUAAUGGCAGGGACAGCACUCCACUCUGAAGAGUUUCAGCUGUGUGCAGCACACCUGCACAGCAGCAGCCCACGUGUGCUCACCCUCUCCCCCGGCAGCUUAGGGAACAGCAGAUUCUGUGCCAGCACAACCUGAAACAUUGAGCUCCCUGUUAGGAAAGUCUGCUGCAGGGGAGUGCAUCACGUGAAGGGGUGGCAACCUUCCUCGCUCCAGCCCCAGGGACUCAUGAAGCCUGAACCAGGGGGAGAUGCUGGCCCAGGUGGCUGGUAAAUGCAGGCACCAGCUUUUCCCAGCCAGGCACUCUGUGCAAGAACCAAGUCAAGGGAACAAAGGGUACAGAUUUUUUGGGGAGAAGCCUCCUCCCGUCAACGUGUUUCUCUUCAAGAUUUUCCUCCUAGAAAUACGCUAGAGCUCAAAUGGAAGAGGUUGGAUUGAGGGAAGUGUCCUUACAGAAAUGUGACUGAUCACAAGUGGUGCCUCUCAGCCUUCAAAAACCAUGAGAUUGUACGCCCUGAAUCCACCACCUCCAGCCCUGCCUUCGUACCCAGCAAGUGACCACAGUCAUGUAUGCCCAAAAAUAUCUGUAUGUUUUCCUGAUGGCACUUCCCUUUUUGCCCACCAACCCCGUUCAAAAUGAGGCUCACACAACCUGCUCAGAAUGCUGUUUUCUUUAAUGGAAGAGGUAAGAGAAGCCCUGACACAGAUCUAAAUGCCAUGGGGAGAAGGCUUGAGGCAGAGCAUGGCUGUGGCUGCUCUGGCUUCCUGCUGCAGCUCAGUUGCAGAGAUAAGGGCAGCGCUUGGAUGGCGGGAGGCACUUGGAUUCCACUGAGUAGGUCACCUCCUUGUCACACACCCCUGGUGGCAGGCUGAAU